AUGACUUUCAGCUCAAGAGGAAGAAGGAUGCCUUCACAGAAUGUGCAAAUGAUGACAUUGGCCCACAUCUGUACCUAGUCUUCAUAGCACACAUUCCUUGCUCCUUGAAGUGUAUGUAGCCAUGGAGGAAAAGAGGAAGAAUAUUUUGAGAGUUGAGGCAGUGUGUGAAGUCCUACAGAAAAGACAGGAAAGGAUUCUUCCUCUAGCCUUACUCAUCUGAAGAGCUCCAGGCACGUUACUGUGUCGGGGAGACCAUCAACCUGUGGCUGUUACAAGAAAGCACUGGAUCCCUGGCUGGCUACUAUAAAGAUGCUACAAGCUGAUGCUGAGGUACAGUAACAUCAAAAAGAAGGAGAGAGAAGCAUUGUACACCGAGAGCUGAAGAAAUCCAGGUGGCAUGUGUUCAACCCCAGUGAGUUCCUCAACUCAUUCCAACUCAGUGCAGAUUAGAAGAAGCUCUGACCGAAUGGAGGAGAGGCGUACAGGCAAAACAGACCCAGAGAGAGAGAGGUGGCGGGAGAACCUUCAGUUACCUAAAGGUUGGCUGAGGCAAGUGUUUUGUUUAUAAAAUCAUCCUUC